AGUGAACGCUGGCGGUAGGCCUAACACAUGCAAGUCGAACGGCAGCACAGUAAGAGCUUGCUCUUACGGGUGGCGAGUGGCGGACGGGUGAGGAAUACAUCGGAAUCUACUUUUUCGUGGGGGAUAACGUAGGGAAACUUACGCUAAUACCGCAUACGACCUACGGGUGAAAGCAGGGGAUCUUCGGACCUUGCGCGAUUGAAUGAGCCGAUGUCGGAUUAGCUAGUUGGCGGGGUAAAGGCCCACCAAGGCGACGAUCUGUAGCUGGUCUGAGAGGAUGAUCAGCCACACUGGAACUGAGACACGGUCCAGACUCCUACGGGAGACAGCAGUGGGGAAUAUUGGACAAUGGGCGCAAGCCUGAUCCAGCCAUACCGCGUGGGUGAAGAAGGCCUUCGGGUUGUAAAGCCCUUUUGUUGGGAAAGAAAAGCAGCAGGUUAAUACCCCGCUGUUCUGACGGUACCCAAAGAAUAAGCACCGGCUAACUUCGU
rnacentral:rRNA from 1 species